GACGAACGCUGGCGGCGUGCUUAACACAUGCAAGUCGAACGAAGAGCGACGGAAGCUUGCUUCUAUCAAUCUUAGUGGCGAACGGGUGAGUAACGCGUAAUCAACCUGCCCUUCAGAGGGGGACAACAGUUGGAAACGACUGCUAAUACCGCAUACGAUCUAAUCUCGGCAUCGAGGAUGGAUGAAAGGUGGCCUCUACAUGUAAGCUAUCACUGAAGGAGGGGAUUGCGUCUGAUUAGCUAGUUGGAGGGGUAACGGCCCACCAAGGCGAUGAUCAGUAGCCGGUCUGAGAGGAUGAGCGGCCACAUUGGGACUGAGACACGGCCCAGACUCCUACGGGAGGCAGCAGUGGGGAAUCUUCCGCAAGGGACGAAAGUCUGACGGAGCAACGCCGCGUGAGUGAUGACGGCCUUCGGGUUGUAAAGCUCUGUUAAUCGGGACGAAAGGCCUUCUUGCGAAUAGUGAGAAGGAUUGACGGUACCGGAAUAGAAAGCCACGGCUAACUACGUG
rnacentral:rRNA from 1 species